rnacentral:rRNA from 1 species
UACCAGCACCCCGAGUGGUCGGGACGUUUUAUUGGGCCGUAAAGCAUCCGUAGCCGGUUCUACAAGUCUUCCGUUAAAUCCACCUGCUUAACAGAUGGGCUGCGGAAGAUACUAUAGAGCUAGGAGGCGGGAGAGGCAAGCGGUACUCGAUGGGUAGGGUAAAAUCCGUUGAUCCAUUGAAGACCACCAGUGGCGAAGGCGGCUUGCCAGAACGCGCUCGACGGUGAGGGAUGAAAGCUGGGG